AUUGAACGCUGGCGGCAUGCCUACACAUGCAAGUCGAACGGCAGCACGGGAGCAAUCCUGGUGGCGAGUGGCGAACGGGUGAGUAAAGUAUCGGAACGUGCCCAGUCGUGGGGGAUAACGUAGCGAAAGUUACGCUAAUACCGCAUACGAUCUAUGGAUGAAAGCGGGGGAUCGCAAGACCUCGCGCGAUUGGAGCGGCCGAUAGCAGAUUAGGUAGUUGGUGGGGUAAAGGCUCACCAAGCCGACGAUCUGUAGCUGGUCUGAGAGGACGACCAGCCACACUGGGACUGAGACACGGCCCAGACUCCUACGGGAGGCAGCAGUGGGGAAUUUUGGACAAUGGGCGAAAGCCUGAUCCAGCCAUGCCGCGUGCAGGAUGAAGGCCUUCGGGUUGUAAACUGCUUUUGUACGGAACGAAAAGGUUUGGCCUAAUAAGCUGAGCUCAUGACGGUACCGUAAGAAUAAGCACCGGCUAACUACGUGCCAGCAGCCGCGGUAA
rnacentral:rRNA from 1 species